rnacentral:rRNA from 1 species
CGGGCGGCAGCAGUGGGGAAUAUUGCACAAUGGGGGAAACCCUGAUGCAGCGACGCCGCGUGAGCGAUGAAGGCUUUCGAGUCGUAAAGCUCUGUCCUAUGGGAAGAUAAUGACGGUACCAUAGAAGAAAGCCCCGGCUAAUUACGUGCCAGCAGCCGCGGUAAUACGUAAGGGGCGAGCGUUGUCCGGAAUUAUUGGGCGUAAAGAGUGCGUAGGCGGCAAAUUAAGUCAGAUGUGAAAACUAAGGGCUCAACCCAUAGAUUGCAUCUGAAACUGAUAUGCUUGAGUCAAGGAGAGGAAAGUGGAAUUCCUAGUGUAGCGGUGGAAUGCGUAGAUAUUAGGAGGAAUACCGGUGGCGAAGGCGACUUUCUGGACUUGAACUGACGCUGAGGCACGAAAGCGUGGGGAGCAAACAGGAUUAGAUACCCCGGU